rnacentral:rRNA from 1 species
CUUGGUAGGAAGGGGUAAAAUCCUUUGAUCUAUUGAUGACCACCUGUGGCGAAGGCGGUCUACCAGAACACGUCCGACGGUGAGGGAUGAAAGCUGGGGGAGCAAACCGGAUUAGAUACCCGGGUAGUCCCAGCUGUAAACUAUGCAAACUUAGUGAUGCAUUGACUUGUGGUCAAUGCAGUGCUGCAGGGAAGCCGUUAAGUUGCCGCCUGGGAA